UGAACGCUAGCGACAGGCCUAACACAUGCAAGUCGAGGGGCAGCACAAGGAGCAAUCUGAGGUGGCGACCGGCGCACGGGUGAGUAACACGUAUGCGAACCUGCCUGUAAGCGGGGAAUAACCCGUUGAAAGACGGACUAAUACCGCAUAAUACUAAAUUACUGCAUGGUAAUUUAUUUAAACAUUUAUGGCUUACAGAUGGGCAUGCGCAUGAUUAGCUAGUUGGAGAGGUAACGGCUCCCCAAGGCAACGAUCAUUAGGGGUUCUGAGAGGAAGGUCCCCCACACUGGUACUGAGACACGGACCAGACUCCUACGGGAGGCAGCAGUGAGGAAUAUUGGUCAAUGGACGAGAGUCUGAACCAGCCAAGUCGCGUGCAGGAAGAAUGUCCUAAUGGAUUGUAAACUGCUUUUGCAGGGGAAUAAAGUGCAUCACGUGUGAUGUUUUGUAUGUACUCUGCGAAUAAGGAUCGGCUAACUCCGUGCCAGCAGCGGC
rnacentral:rRNA from 1 species